rnacentral:rRNA from 1 species
GACAGAGGGGCACAGCUGUGUCGGAUUACUGGGCGUAAAGGGCGCGUAGGCGGUCGUGACAAGUCACUUGUGAAAUCUCCGGGCUUAACUCGGAACGGUCAAGUGAUACUGUCGGACUAGAGUACAGAAGGGGCAACUGGAAUUCCCGGUGUAGCGGUGAAAUGCGCAGAUAUCGGGAGGAACACCGGUGGCGAAGGCGGUUCUCUGGGCCUGUACUGACGCUGAGGAGCGAAAGCGUGGGGAGCGAACAGG